UACGUAGGGGGCAAGCGUUGUCCGGAAUCAUUGGGCGUAAAGCGCGUGUAGGCGGUUCGAUAAGUCUGCUGUGAAAGUCCAGGGCUCAACCCUGGGAUGCCGGUGGAUACUGUCGGGCUAGAGUGCGGAAGAGGCGAGUGGAAUUCCUGGUGUAGCGGUGAAAUGCGCAGAUAUCAGGAGGAACACCGGUGGCGAAGGCGGGUCUCUGGGCAGUAACUG
rnacentral:rRNA from 1 species